rnacentral:rRNA from 1 species
AACGAACGCUGGCGGCAUGCCUAACACAUGCAAGUCGAACGAGACCUCCGGGACUAGUUGCGCACGGGUGCGUCACGCGUGGGAACCUGCCCUUAGGUUCGGAAUAACUCCCCGAAAGGGGUGCUAAUACCGGAUAAUGUCUUCGGACCAAAGAUUUAGCGCGUUUGGAUGGGCCCGCGUUGGAUUAGCUAGUUGGUAGGGUAAAAGCCUACCAAGGCGACGAUCCAUAGCUGGUCUGAGAGGAUGAUCAGCCACACUGGGACUGAGACACGGCCCAGACUCCUACGGGAGGGAGCAGUGGGGAAUAUUGGACUAUGGGCUAAAGCCUGAUCCAGCACUGCCGCGUGAGUGAUGAAGGCCUUAGGGUAGUAAAGCUCUUUUACCCGGGAUGAUAAUGACAGUACCGGGAGAAUAAGCUCCGGCUAACUCCGUG